UACAGAGGAGCCAAGCGUUGUCCGGAUUGACUGGGCGUAAAGCGCACGCAGGCGGCUGCGCGCGUGGGGUGUGAAAUCUGGCCGCUUAACGGCCAGGCGCCAUCCCAUACGGCGCGGCUUGAGCCUUGUAGAGGGCGGUGGAAUUGCCGGUGUAGUGGUGAAAUGCGUAGAGAUCAGGAAGAACAUCGGUGGCGAAGGCGCUCUGCUGGACCAUAACUGACACUCAGGGACGAAAGCUAGGGGAGCGAAUGGG
rnacentral:rRNA from 1 species